AGUGAACGCUGGCGGUAGGCCUAACACAUGCAAGUCGAACGGCAGCACAGUAAGAGCUUGCUCUUACGGGUGGCGAGUGGCGGACGGGUGAGGAAUACAUCGGAAUCUACUUUUUCGUGGGGGAUAACGUAGGGAAACUUACGCUAAUACCGCAUACGACCUACGGGUGAAAGCAGGGGAUCUUCGGACCUUGCGCGAUUGAAUGAGCCGAUGUCGGAUUAGCUAGUUGGCGGGGUAAAGGCCCACCAAGGCGACGAUCCGUAGCUGGUCUGAGAGGAUGAUCAGCCACACUGGAACUGAGACACGGUCCAGACUCCUACGGGGGGCAGCAGUGGGGAAUAUUGGACAAUGGGCGCAAGCCUGAUCCAGCCAUACCGCGUGGGUGAAGAAGGCCUUCGGGUUGUAAAGCCCUUUUGUUGGGAAAGAAAUCCAGCCGGCUAAUACCUGGUUGGGAUGACGGUACCCAAAGAAUAAGCACCGGCUAACUUCGUG
rnacentral:rRNA from 1 species